GAUGAACGCUGGCGGCGUGCCUAACACAUGCAAGUCGAGCGAGGGUUUGCUCAGUAUUGAGUAUUCUAAGUCUAGAAUGUUCAAUUCUGAGCAAAACCAAGCGGCGGACGGGUGAGUAACGCGUGGGUAACCUGCCCUAUACACAUGGAUAACAUACUGAAAAGUUUACUAAUACAUGAUAAUAUAUAUUUGCGGCAUCGCAGAUAUAUCAAAGUGUUAGCGGUAUAGGAUGGACCCGCGUCUGAUUAGCUAGUUGGUGAGAUAACUGCCCACCAAGGCGACGAUCAGUAGCCGACCUGAGAGGGUGAUCGGCCACAUUGGAACUGAGACACGGUCCAAACUCCUACGGGAGGCAGCAGUGGGGAAUAUUGCACAAUGGGCGAAAGCCUGAUGCAGCAACGCCGCGUGAACGAUGAAGGUCUUCGGAUCGUAAAGUUCUGUUGCAGGGGAGGAUAAUGACGGUACCCUGUGAGGAAGCCCCGGCUAACUACGUGCCAGCAGCCGCGGUAAUACGUAGGGGGCUAGCGUUAUCCGGAUUUACUGGGCGUAAAGGGUGCGUAGGUGGUCCUUCAAGUCGGUGGUUAAAGGCUACGGCUCAACCGUAGUAAGCCGCCGAAACUGGAGGACUUGAGUGCAGGAGAGGAAAGUGGAAUUCCCAGUGUAGCGGUGAAAUGCGUAGAUAUUGGGAGGAACACCAGUAGCGAAGGCGGCUUUCUGGACUGCAACUGACACUGAGGCACGAAAGCGUGGGUAGCAAACAGG
rnacentral:rRNA from 1 species